CGAGCGGAUGAGAGGAGCUUGCUCCUUGAUUUAGCGGCGGACGGGUGAGUAAUGCCUAGGAAUCUGCCUGGUAGUGGGGGAUAACGUUCCGAAAGGAACGCUAAUACCGCAUACGUCCUACGGGAGAAAGCAGGGGACCUUCGGGCCUUGCGCUAUCAGAUGAGCCUAGGUCGGAUUAGCUAGUUGGUGAGGUAAUGGCUCACCAAGGCGACGAUCCGUAACUGGUCUGAGAGGAUGAUCAGUCACACUGGAACUGAGACACGGUCCAGACUCCUACGGGAGGCAGCAGUGGGGAAUAUUGGACAAUGGGCGAAAGCCUGAUCCAGCCAUGCCGCGUGUGUGAAGAAGGUCUUCGGAUUGUAAAGCACUUUAAGUUGGGAGGAAGGGCAGUAAGUUAAUACCUUGCUGUUUUGACGUUACCGACAGAAUAAGCACCGGCUAACUUCGUGCCAGCAGCCGCGGUAAUACGAAGGGUGCAAGUGUUAAUCGGAAUUACUGGGCGUAAAGCGCGCGUAGGUGGUUCGUUAAGUUGGAUGUGAAAGCCCCGGGCUCAACCUGGGAACUGCAUCCAAAACUGGCGAGCUAGAGUACGGUAGAGGGUGGUGGAAUUUCCUGUGUAGCGGUGAAAUGCGUAGAUAUAGGAAGGAACACCAGUGGCGAAGGCGACCACCUGGACUGAUACUGACACUGAGGUGCGAAAGCGUGGGGGAGCAAACAGGAUUAGAUACCCUGGUAGUCCACGCCGUAAACGAUGUCAACU
rnacentral:rRNA from 1 species